GCGGUCAUGGCGGAAUGGCAGACGCGCCAGCUUGAGGGGCUGGUGGGAGGAUCUCCCGUGGAAGUUCGAGUCUUCUUGGCCGCA
rfam:Enterococcus sp. 9E7_DIV0242 scaffold00001, whole genome shotgun sequence.